GCCGCCGUAGCUCAGCCUGGUUGGAGCGCCGCCCUGGUAAGGCGGAGGUCCCGGGUUCAAAUCCCGGCGGCGGCUCCA
rnacentral:tRNA from 1 species